AUUGAACGCUGGCGGCAGGCUUAACACAUGCAAGUCGAACGAGUGGCGGACGGGUGAGUAAUGUUUGGGAAUCUGGCUUAUGGCGGGGGAUAACUACGGGAAACUGUAGAUAAUACCGCAUACCAUAGGAUGAGCCCAAGUGGGAUUAGGGAGUUGGUGGGUUAAUGGCCUACCAAGCAGACGAUCUCUAUCUGGUCUGAGAGUAUGACCAGCCACACCGGGACUGAGCCACGGACCGGACUCCUAAGGUAGGCAGCAGUGGGGAAUAUUGCGCAAUGGGGGCAACCUGACGCAGCCAUGCCGCGUGAAUGAUGAAGGCCUUCGGGUUGUAAAGUUCUUUCGGUGACGAGGCGUUAAUCACAGAAGAAGCACCGGCUAACUCCGUGCCAGCAGCCGCGGUAAUUC
rnacentral:rRNA from 1 species